rnacentral:lncRNA from 1 species
AGGAAGUGAUGGUUUGCAUCUGUGUGCUGGGCUACCUGAAUGAGAAACACCAUAACAGUUCUGCUGGGUGCCAGAGGGAGAGAGCCUCGGAAGUUGGCCCCAUUAAUCCCCACCCUCCCUCCUUCUCCUUGGUCUGAUGAAGGUCUCACACACAGGCCCACUUUGCCUGCCAUCGACUGCCCUUGCUGUGUGUACCUGUGGGCACACACACCGGCCAGAGAAGAGCCAUGGAAGCUUCCUCGCCCCUUGCUUGCUCUCAGCCUUCUGUGGAUCAGUUACCCAGGGAACAGAGCACAGCCGACAAUGAGAAGAUGCAGCGUGGUUGGCCCUCUGUUCCCUGAUUCCUCCUUUGAGGAUGCGAGAAUUUCCCACUGGUGACCCAUGUUUCAUUGAGUGUGUCUGUGCCCACAUCUUUUCUCCAUCAGAAGAUGGACUGGUCUCAAAAGUGACACUUGGAUCACUUCCUAAUAGCCUUCCAGACUCAUGAUAACAUCUUGACAACAACAGGGAACACUCAAAAGACAGACUUUAAGACCCUGGCAGAGGGACAAG